rnacentral:rRNA from 1 species
CGGUAAUUCCAGCUCCAAUAGCGUAUACUAAAGUUGUUGCAGUUAAAAAGCUCGUAGUUGGAUUUCUGUGGGGACGGAGCGGCCGGCCGCACAUCGCGGUUCGAGCUAGCGCUUUCCCUACAUCCUGCCGCGAACCGUGCUACCAUUAGUUUGGUGGCGCUGGGGAUCGGCUCGAUUACUUUGAGAAAAAUAGAGUGUUCAAAGCAGGCCACACGCCUUGAAUAAGUUAGCAUGGAAUAAUAACUAAGGACUUCGGUUCUAUUUUGUUGGUGUUCGGGACUGAAGUAAUGAUUGAUAGGGACAGUUGGGGCGGUCUGUAUUCCAAAGCGAGAGGUGAAAUUCUUAGACCUUCGGAAGACAAACAGCUGCGAAAGCGUUCCGCAAGGAUGUUCCCUUUGAUCAAGAACGAAAGUUGGGGGAUCGAAGACGAUCAGAUACCGUCGUAGUCUCAACUAUAAACUAUACCAGCUAGGGAUCGGCCAACGUUAUUUUAUACCGACUUGGUCGGCACCUUAUGAGAAAUCAAAGCAUCUGGGUUCCGGGGGGAGUAUGGUCGCAAGGCUGAAACUUAAAGGAAUUGACGGAAGGGCACCACCAGCCGUGGAGCCUGUGGCUUAAUUUGACUCAACACGGGAAAACUUACCAGGUCCAGACAUAGUAAGGAUUGACAGAUUGAUAGCUCUUUCUUGAUUCUGUGGGUGGUGGUGCAUGGCCGUUCUUAGUUGGUGGAGUGAUUUGUCUGGUUAAUUCCGUUAACGAACGAGACCCCAGCCUGCUAAAUAGCGCGCGUGAGCUUUGCUCGCGGCGAGCUUCUUAGAGGGACUAUGAUGCGCGAUAGCACAUGGAAGUUUGGGGCAAUAACAGGUCUGUGAUGCCCUUAGAUGUUCUGGGCCGCACACGGGCUACACUGGCGCCUGCAACGAGCAUAUCAGCUGGCCCGAGAGGGUCUUGGCUAAUCUUUUGAACCGGCGCCGUGCUUGGGAUUGACCUUUGCAAUUGUUGGUCAUGCAACGAGGAAUGCCUUGUAAACGCGAGUCAUCAGCUCGCAUUGAAUACGUCCCUGCCCUUUGUACACACCGCCCGUCGCUCCUACCGAUGAAUGUUCCGAUGAAAUUUUCGGAGAGUGCCUGUGAACUUGGCUCUGCCUUGCGAACGGGAAGCUCAAAGUCACUUAAAUCUGAACAUUUCGAGGAGGGAGAAGUCGUAACAAGGUAGCCG